rnacentral:rRNA from 1 species
UGUAAGCGUAUACCAAAGUUGUUGCAGUUAAAACGCUCGUAGUCGGAAUUUGGCAGUUCCGGAUGCGUGCACGUCGUGUGCGCACUUCGCGGGGAUUGCUUUUGUGGUCUUGCGUAGGAUGAGGCACUUUUAUUAGUGAACGUCCUCACGCAACCACUUUUUACUGUGAGAAAAUCAGAGUGCUCAAAGCAGGCAUUUGCCGUGAAUGUAUUAGCAUGGAAUAAUAGAAUAGGACUUGGUUCUAUUUUGUUGGUUUGUUGGGACUGAGUAAUGAUUAAGAGGGACAGUUGGGGGCAUUUGUAUUUCGGUGCUAGAGGUGAAAUUCUUAGAUUGCCGAAAGACAAACUGCUGCGAAAGCGUCUGCCAAGGAUGUUUUCAUUGA